CAGAUUUGUAGCAACUUGUUUGCAGACCUGUAACAACUUGUGCGUUCCGCGCAGUUUUUUAGCCAUACAGCUGGGAUUUUGUCAGGACCAGUUGCCUUCUCUUCGUCAAGAUUUCGCAGUACAUAACGAACUUCUCCUUCGGUUAAAGUAAGAUCUGAGAUGGUGGUCAGAUCGAUCAUGUCAUCUUCAAAAUCAACAGAGGAGAGUUAGUUGUAAGGCCGGUCGGGAGUAUAUAAACGUAAAACGUCGUUUUGUAAAGCUAUAUUUAUAUGUCAAGUGUCAGCGAUAUCAAAUCAAUCGUAUUAUCAUAAAUGCUUUAAAUAGGGAAUAGUUUGCGUAUUACAAAUCUGACAUUACAAACUGUCGUUAUACUGGGCCAUGUUUUUACGCUUAAUACGCUGAAUGUAUGUACAUAUAGCGUGUUUCGGGGAUAUGUGGUAAAUGUGUUGACCAGCCACUAAAAA